CUUGCUCACUUAUAAAAAGCUUAUUUCUCUUGGAAUUAAGCUCAUCAAGGCUUGAUUGGAUCCAUCCAUCUUCCCGUGACCUGUAGAAAAGUAUAAUUUUUAUUUUAUCUGGGGUUUUUUGUUGUUAAUAAAGGAGUGACAGUCUUUAGCAUCCUUCUACAUCCUGACCAGAAGCAGAAGUCUCAAAGGAAGAGGAUUGUUAUGUAAACACAAUGCUCUGGACUGGCGCAUCACUGUGUGACCCCGGUGUCUGAGAGGAUACUGGAACUGGCCAUGGAUCUGGUCCAAAGUGACAUCACUCAUGGAAUUCAAUCGAGUCAGCAAAAUUAAGGUUCUGAUUUGUGCUGGAGCGAGUGUGAAUGACUGACACAAGCUGUCAGUUAAAAUUUGACUGUGGCAUGAUUCGUUGCAGAACAUGAGAUUAUUAGAGAUAUUCUGAAUAAAGAAAAGUCUUCCAAGUCACUUUUAGGUUUCCCUUGGAAUCUGCCGCAAUAGAUCAGAAAAGAAAAUGUUAAUAUAUGGCUCUGAAGCCCACUGCCAGUGUUUCUUCUUCGUUGAUGUGUUGCCUUGAUUUGAGACCUUUGAAGAUAAGGACAAUGUGAGAAGAGCUAUUGCAAAUCCAGCUCAGAUUCUGUUAUGUUACUCAAGAGCAUCCUGAGAAUGCCAAACCUAUGUGUGGUAAUGCUGGCCUUGCACAGGCUUACUGUGUCUCCCUGGGGAAGCUUCUUGACAACUUUGAGACUUGAAAAUACUUGGGCUGCAAAGGGGAAUGGUGAGACAAGUAGACCUGGACUUGUGGAGACACUCUCUUAAUGAAGCCUUUGACCUUCACUCACCCAUAAAGCCCCAGGGUCCUUUGUCUGUCCUGUGCUGGCAGAGGCCCCAAGACAAAGCAGUGUGCCUCACCAGGAGGCUGGAGUAGCAGAGAGGCAAGCCCAGAGGAGAGGACUGAAGGGAGCUGCAAAGACAGAAAAUUAGUCCUUAUGAAGCAAUUCUCCACCCUGCCUCUUCUAUGUUGUAUCCCAACCCAAGCCAUGAGGCAAUUGUGCAGAAAUGGGAGGGUUUGUUGUUGGCUGGAGGUCACCAAAAAUAGAAGAUGUAAGAAACCUAAUAUGCAAGGAGUGAUGAUAAAGUCCAAAACGUUUAAAAACAGGGCCAUUAUCAUAGUGAGUGUGAAGGCAGAACACACCCACCUAGCCCUUUGGUCCCUUUGUCUAGAACAGCUGCAGCAGGAGCAAUAAAAACAAGCAGCUCUGACUUUGGGAGAGUUUCCACCCAAUCCAUUGUUUCACCUAAAGAUCCUCAACCUUCCCAACCCAGAGCUGCACCAUGACAUACUCAUCCUUCCUCCCAGCCUUAAGGAGGAGAGCUGCAGCCCAGGACAUGGCCCGACAGCUUCGCCUGGGGAAGACUUGCUCAAAGCCCUCUGAAAUCUGGGCUGCUUUCUUUCCCUAAGCAGUUUGCCUGCCAGGCUCCUAUGGUCCCAACACCACAGCAUCUGCUGACCCUAUGCUCACCUCAGGCAGCAUGUUGCCUCUACUCUGGACCAAUUGGCCCUGAGCAGAACUCCAAAGUUUGAUUUCAGUCCUCGUCCAGCUACUUCCCCUUUUUAGGGCCUCAGUUUCCUCAGUGAAGAGGUUGGCAUAUGUUGGUUGUGAAGUUCUUUGCACAUCAUGUGUCUCAUGACAUUUGGAAAGUACCUGGCUUGGCAUCUGGAGCCAACUAUUGCCUGGCUGCUCCAACAGGCUUGAUUUCCACCCAGACUUUCUGACCAGCCCCUCCUUUCCCUUCAAAAUUUAUUCACCCUGUGUCCCAUUGCUUCAGGGUCUUAUUCAAGCCAUUCCGCUUACCUGGUAUCCAUGCUUUUUCCAUCCUAUGGUGCCUAUCAGUGGGUUGUCCAGACAAGAAGCAAAUCAGAACUAUGCACCUACGUUAUGACCACAGUGCUUCUCUGACGGAAUAGCAGUAACUUAAAAAUGCUUCGAAAAAUCUAGAUAGAUUUACUUGAGUAUUUGUCUUGGACCUUCAGAUUACUGAAUCCCAAAUCUCAAUUAUGGUUUCUCAAACAAAGAAUUUCCAGCUAUGGAGCUGGCCCUGUGGCCGAAUGGUUAAGUUCGCGUGCUCUGCUUUGGCGGCCCAGGGUUUCACUGGUUUGGAUCCUGGGUGCGGACAUGGCACCACUCAUCAGGCCAUGUUGAGGCAGCGUCCCACAUGCCACAACUAGAGGGACAUACAACUAAAAUAUACACCUAUGUGCUGCAGGGCUUUGGGGAGAAGAAGGGAAAAAAGAAAAAAAAGAAGACUGGCAACAGUUGUUAGUUCAGGUGCCAAUCUUUUAAAAAAAAAAAAAAGAAUUUCGAGCUAAAAAUGCCAGCCACACAAAUAUGUUCAAGACACAGAAACGAAGCUGGAGUGGAUUUGCCACUAGUGACAUGGCAGUGUUCUGCACCACUAGGUGCACUUCUAGCCUGGGAACUAGCAAAGCAUACCACAACUGGAACAUCGUCCCUAGUCAUGCCGCUUCCAAGAAAUAUCAGGUUUAAGAAAUAAGGAGCAAAUGUCAGCUGAGAAGGGGAUGAGGGUGAUGAAUGGGGGAAGGAAAGCAUCUGAUGCUCUAUACCUCUGUAUUUCCAUGCAAGAAAGAACCUGCUACU
ensembl:lncRNA